GUGAAAUGAUGACGAAGUUUAUCCAUUCUCUGAGAUCACUAUACGCUAACCUUCUUGUAGUGCUAGGUUCCUGUUUUAGGAACUCUGUGCCAUAGUCUCCAAAUGCCCAGCAGUCUUCCAGUGUUCUACUGUGGACAGUUGGUGUAGGUGGUGGCGUUUACGAAGGAAUGUAUGGUGUCAGCAGAGGUGGAACCUCAUCUGUUGGAGGUUUCCUCUUGCCAAGAUGAAUGAUGGGCGUCUGAUCAC